rnacentral:rRNA from 1 species
GAUGAACGCUGGCGGCGUGCCUAACACAUGCAAGUCGAGCGAACAGACGAGGAGCUUGUUCUUUUGACGUUAGCGGCGGACGGGCGAGUAACACGUGGAUAACCUACUUCUAUUACUGGGAUAACUUCGGGAAACCGGAUCCAAUACCAGAGAAUAUAUUGUACCGCUUGGUGCAGUAGAGAUUGACGGUUUUGCCGUCACUUUUAGCCGGUUCCGCGCUGCAUUAGCUAGUUGGUAAGGUAACGGCUUACCAAGGCGACGAUGCGUAGCCGACCUGAGAGGGUGAUCGGCCACACUGGAACUGAGACACGGUCCAGACUCCUACGGGAGGCAGCAGUAGGGAAUCUUCCGCAAUGGGCGAAAGCCUGACGGAGCAACGCCGCGUGAGUGAUGAAGGUCUUCGGAUCGUAAAACUCUGUUAUUAGGGAAGAACAAAUGUGUAAGUAACUAUGCACGUCUUGACGGUACCGAAGCAGAAAGCCACGGCUAACUACGU